CCUACGGGCGGCUGCAGUGAGGAAUAUUGGUCAAUGGACGAGAGUCUGAACCAGCCAAGUAGCGUGAAGGAUGACUGCCCUAUGGGUUGUAAACCUCUUUUAUAAAGGAAUAAAACGAGGCACGUGUGCCCUUUUGCAUGUACCUUAUGAAAAAGGAUCGGCUAACUCCGUGCCAGCAGCCGCGGUAAUACGGAGGAUCCGAGCGUUAUCCGGAUUUAUUGGGUUUAAAGGGAGCGUAGGUGGGUUGUUAAGUCAGGGGUGAAAGUUUGGGGGUCAACCGUAAAAUAGCAAUUGAUACUGGCAGUCUUGAGUACAGUAGAGGUAGGCGGAAUUCGUGGUGUAGCGGUGAAAUGCUUAGAUAUCACGAAGAACCCCGAUUGCGAAGGCAGCUUACUAGACUGUGACUGACAUUGAUGCUCGAAAGUGUGGGUAUCGAACAGGAUUAGAUACCCCUGUAGUC
rnacentral:rRNA from 1 species